rnacentral:lncRNA from 1 species
GUUGCCUUUUCAUCAAUAUAAAUACUACACUAAUUUAGAGAAUGUAGGUUCCAACAAUAUGCAGCUUCAUUAUACACAAACGUCUGUGUGUUCUGUAACUCACAACAUACUUGGUUAGGCAUACAACUACUAUGUAUUGAAGACCCAUUGUCGGCUGUUGUCUCUUUGACAAAUUCCCCAUUUCAAUUCUUAUUUUAACUAUAUUGUUAAUUAUCAAAUAAACAAAAAAUAGAUAGAAAUAAAACCUAUUUUUAUGCGUUUGAAGCGCUUUUCUG